GGCACCAUGGCCUAAUGGUAAGGCGUUGCUUUCCGGUGGCAAAGAUUGCGAGUUCGAGUCUCGCUGGUGUCG